AAAAUCUUGAAGAUCAAACACCAAAAGAUGCCUCCGAAAGCUUGAAAUCUUGAUGAAACUUUGGAGAACAAACACCAAAUCUUGAAGAUCAAACACCAAAAUAGGCCUCCAAAACCUUGAAAUUUUGAUGAAUCUUUGAAGGUGUGAAGAACAAACACGAAAUCCUGAAGAUCAAACACCAAAAUAGGCCUCCAAAACCUUGAGAUUUUGAUGAAUCUUUGAAGGUGCGAAGAACAAACACCAAAUCUUGAGGAUCGAACACCAAAAUAGGCUUCAAAAGACUUGAAAAAAUGAAGAACCACUAAGAUUUUUUGAAAUCCAUGAAGAAACUACUAAAAUUCUAGAGAGAAAAAGUUGAGAUGAAAGGAAGUUAUGAAGUGUGGGGAGUGAAACUACACUCACUUAUAUAAGCCACAGUUGGUCGCAAAAAAAAACAAAAAACAAAAAAAGGGCUAUAUAGCCGUUGUAUAGCUCCUAGGGAGCAAUAAAAGAACAAAAUAACGGUAGAGCAAAAACCAACGUUUGGUAGAGAAGAAAUUGGGCAGGCCCCACCCUUUUUUUAUUAUUCAUUUUCCUUUUUCUAAAAAGGAAAAAGUAAAUAGUAAAAGAAAAAACAGAAAGCAGAGUCGCGGAUUCAAAACCAAAGUUUGGCUGAAAAUAAAAUGGGCUGGGCCCCGCUACCUUUUUAAUUUAUUUUUUCUUUUUCUAUAAAANCCGGGACGAUGACCGAUAUGUAUCCAUCCUUUCCUACACUCAGGACUAUUCUUAAACACGAAGAUACUCCUAAAUAAGUUUAUACUAAGCGGGAAUCCUUUUUGAACACACAAAGCCAUAAAAACGUGGAUUAUUCUCCAAGCGUUGGGAACCAACUGACACGGAUUUAUCCUAGCUUCAGCUAAAAGUCUAGGUAUAAAAUCGUUAAGAGGGAAGCGAAGACCCGACUUAAAAGCAUCCUCAUAAAUAAAUAAAUCCUCCGGAUCCCAGUUACAAGUUCCAUCACCCGGAGAGGGACAAACUACUUCAUACUGAGGAGGAACGUUAUAUAACUCAGCUAUUCUAACAACAUCUUCAUCAUUAAGUCUACUAGGAUAAUCAUUAGCAUCUAACUCAGCAUUAUUAGGAAAGGCAUCUCCCAUUUCAUUCAGCAAUUCGAAUAAAGAAGUAACUGGAUGAUCAAGAACGAUAGGGGGACGGAAAUCCUUACCUCUUUUUGAAGCUCGAGCAGCCAACCUUUUUGCCCUCUCCUCAGCAAUAGAGUGAUUUUCGGCCAUUGACAAACACCAAAAUCUUGAAGAUCAAACACCAAAAGAUGCCUCCGAAAGCUUGAAAUCUUGAUGAAACUUUGGAGAACAAACACCAAAUCUUGAAGAUCAAACACCAAAAUAGGCCUCCAAAACCUUGAAAUUUUGAUGAAUCUUUGAAGGUGUGAAGAACAAACACGAAAUCCUGAAGAUCAAACACCAAAAUAGGCCUCCAAAACCUUGAGAUUUUGAUGAAUCUUUGAAGGUGCGAAGAACAAACACCAAAUCUUGAGGAUCGAACACCAAAAUAGGCUUCAAAAGACUUGAAAAAAUGAAGAACCACUAAGAUUUUUUGAAAUCCAUGAAGAAACUACUAAAAUUCUAGAGAGAAAAAGUUGAGAUGAAAGGAAGUUAUGAAGUGUGGGGAGUGAAACUACACUCACUUAUAUAAGC
rnacentral:lncRNA from 1 species